rnacentral:rRNA from 1 species
CCUACGGGUGGCAGCAGUGGGGGAUAUUGCACAAUGGGGGGAACCCUGAUGCAGCGACGCCGCGUGGGUGAAGAAGCGCCUCGGCGCGUAAAGCCCUGUCAGCAGGGAAGAAAAUGACGGUACCUGAAGAAGAAGCCCCGGCUAACUACGUGCCAGCAGCCGCGGUAAUACGUAGGGGGCAAGCGUUAUCCGGAUUUACUGGGUGUAAAGGGGGCGCAGACGGCGAUGCAAGCCAGGAGUGAAAGCCCGGGGCCCAACCCCGGGACUGCUCUUGGAACUGCGUGGCUGGAGUGCAGGAGGGGCAGGCGGAAUUCCUGGUGUAGCGGUGAAAUGCGUAGAUAUCAGGAGGAAUACUCAUUGCGAAGGCGACCUGCUGGAACAUUACUGACGCUGAUGCACGAAAGCGUGGGGAGCAAACAGGAUUAGAUACCCGAGUAGUC